GGAAUGGAGCGGCGAGCCGCGGCGUAAAGUCGGAGGGUGGAGGCGUUGGCCGGAAUUAUAGGGGGGAAAGGGCGCGUAGGCGUCCGGGCGCGUCGGCGGUGAAAACCCGGGGCGCAACCCCGGGCCUGCAGUCGAUACGGGCAGGCUAGAGUUCGGCAGGGGAGACUGGAAUUCCUGGUGUAGCGGUGAAAUGCGCAGAUAUCAGGAGGAACACCGGUGGCGAAGGCGGGUCUCUGGGCCGAUACUGACGCUGAGGAGCGAAAGCGUGGGGAGCGAACAGGAUUAGAUACCCGAGUAGUC
rnacentral:rRNA from 1 species